rnacentral:rRNA from 1 species
CCUACGGGAGGCAGCAGUGGGGAAUUUUGGACAAUGGGCGCAAGCCUGAUCCAGCAAUGCCGCGUGAGUGAAGAAGGCCUUCGGGUUGUAAAGCUCUUUUGUCAGGGAAGAAAAGGCUACGGAUAAUACCUGUGGCUCAUGACGGUACCUGAAGAAUAAGCACCGGCUAACUACGUGCCAGCAGCCGCGGUAAUACGUAGGGUGCAAGCGUUAAUCGGAAUUACUGGGCGUAAAGCGUGCGCAGGCGGUUUUGUAAGACUGUCGUGAAAUCCCCGGGCUCAACCUGGGAAUGGCGAUGGUGACUGCAAGGCUAGAGUUUGGCAGAGGGGGGUAGAAUUCCACGUGUAGCAGUGAAAUGCGUAGAUAUGUGGAGGAACACCGAUGGCGAAGGCAGCCCCCUGGGUCAAAACUGACGCUCAUGCACGAAAGCGUGGGGAGCAAACAGGAUUAGAUACCCUGGUAGUCCACGCCCUAAACGAUGUCUACUAGUUGUCGGGUCUUAAUUGACUUGGUAACGCAGCUAACGCGUGAAGUAGACCGCCUGGGGAGUACGGUCGCAAGAUUAAAACUCAAAUUGAAUUGACGGCUGAGAGNGCGAGACGACGACGAGGAGGAGG